rnacentral:rRNA from 1 species
AUGGUUGCGCCUUCCCAUUUCAAAGCACAAAGAGUUCUUGAUGAGAUUCGCCGGCGUUACUACAAGAAAACUGUCAUGAUACUAAACCUCACGCCCUAUUGAGCAUCUUAUCUCAUCUUAAAGUUGGUUUAUUCGGCUGCCGUAAAUGCUACUCAUUAUAGGGAUUCCGACAAAGCGAAUUUAUUCAUUACUAAAGCCAAAGUCAGUAGGAGUACUAUUAUGAAGAAAUUCAGACCUUGACCUCGAGGACGUAGUUUCCCCAUAAAAAAGCAUGUCUCAUAUAAUAAUUGUGCAUUUUUUUACUUCACUCCAUAA